rnacentral:rRNA from 1 species
UAAGGAAUAUUGGUCAAUGGACGCAAGUCUGAACCAGCCAUGCCGCGUGAAGGAUGAAGGUUCUCUGGAUUGUAAACUUCUUUUAUCUGGGACGAAAACGGGAUUUUUAUCUCAAUUGACGGUACCAGAGGAAUAAGCACCGGCUAACUCCGUGCCAGCAGCCGCGGUAAUACGGAGGGUGCGAGCGUUAUCCGGAUUUACUGGGUUUAAAGGGUGCGUAGGUGGGCUUAUAAGUCAGUGGUGAAAUCUCCGAGCUUAACUUGGAAACUGCCGUUGAUACUAUAGGUCGUGAAUUAUCUGGAGGUAAGCUGAAUAUGUCAUGGAGCGGUGAAAUGCUUAGAUAUGACAUAGAACACCAAUUGCGAAGGCAGCUUACUACACAAGCAUUGACACUGAGGCACGAAAGCGUGGGUAGCGAACA